UACGUAGGAUGCAAGCGUUGUCCGGAAUUAUUGGGCGUAAAGCGAACGUAGGCGGCUUCUUAAGUUUGGUCUUAAAGACCGGGGCUCAACCCCGGGAAUGGACUGAAUACUGGGAUGCUAGAGGAUGUCAGAGGAAGGUGGAAUUCCGAGUGUAGCGGUGAAAUGCGUAGAUAUUCGGAGGAACACCGGUGGCGAAAGCGACCUUCUGGGGCAUUCCUGACGCUGAGGUUCGAAAGCUCGGGGAGCAAACAGG
rnacentral:rRNA from 1 species